GGCAGCCUCGGGAGAGCGACCCAAGAGCUGACAGAACCCGUCUCCUGCGUGGGCGAUCGUGGGAGACGGCGUUUUGUGAAAUGGAAUCCUGAAAAGACUUGGUGCGUUCGCCGAGAAGCUCAGUAGCGCGGCAAACUUGGUUGUACCGAUGGUCGCAUCGCUCGGGAAGAACCGCGUUCUUCUCGCGGCCUCAGUAGCCCCC
rnacentral:sRNA from 10 species